rnacentral:hammerhead_ribozyme from 1 species
AUCCAGCUGACGAGUCCCUAGUGGAACGAAAAACGCGUCCUGGAU